AACGAACGCUGGCGGCAGGCUUAACACAUGCAAGUCGAACGAUGUAGCAAUACAUAGUGGCAGACGGGUGAGUAACGCGUGGGAACCUACCUUUAGGUACGGAAUAACGCAGGGAAACUUGUGCUAAUACCGUAUGAUCCCUUCGGGGCAAAGAUUCAUCGCCUAAGGAUGAGCCCGCGUGGCAUUAGCUAGUUGGUAAGGUAACGGCUUACCAAGGCUACGAUGCCUAGCUGGUCUGAGAGGAUGAUCAGCCACACUGGAACUGAGACACGGUCCAGACUCCUACGGGAGGCAGCAGUGGGGAAUAUUGGACAAUGGGCGAAAGCCUGAUCCAGCCAUGCCGCGUGUGUGAAGAAGGCCUUAGGGUUGUAAAGCUCUUUCAAUGGUGAAGAUAAUGACGGUAGCCAUAGAAGAAGCCCCGGCUAACUUCGUGCCAGCAGCCGCGGUAAUACGAAGGGGGCAAGCGUUGUUCGGAAUCACUGGGCGUAAAGCGCGCGUAGGCGGGCUGACAAGUCAGAGGUGAAAUCCCAGAGCUCAACCCCGGAACGGCCUUUGAAACUGCAAUGCUAGAGUCCCAAAGGGGAUGGCGGAAUUCCUAAUGUAGGAGUGAAAUCCGUAGAUAUUAGGAGGAACACCGGUGGCGAAGGCGGCCAUCUGGAUGGGAACUGACGCUGAGGCGCGAAAGCGUGGGGAUCAAACAGGAUUAGAUACCCUGGUAGUCCACGCCGUAAACGAUGAGUGCUAGUUGUUGGGGGGUUACCUCUCAGUGACGCAGCUAACGCAUUAAGCACUCCGCCUGGGGAGUACGGCCGCAAGGUUAAAACUCAAAGAAAUUGACGGGGACCCGCACAAGCGGUGGAGCAUGUGGUUUAAUUCGAGGCAACGCGAAGAACCUUACCAGGCCUUGACAUGGGUAGUUUGGAGACCAGAGAUGGACUCCUUCAGUUUGGCUGGCUACCACACAGGUGCUGCAUGGCUGUCGUCAGCUCGUGUCGUGAGAUGUUGGGUUAAGUCCCGCAACGAGCGCAACCCUCAUCCUUAGUUGCCAGCACGUAAUGGUGGGAACUCUAAGGAAACUGCCUGUGAUAAGCAGGAGGAAGGUGGGGACGACGUCAAGUCAUCAUGGCCCUUACGGCCUGGGCUACACACGUGCUACAAUGGCGGUGACAAUGGGCUGCGAACCCGCGAGGGUGAGCGAAUCUCAAAAAACCGUCUCAGUUCGGAUUGGACUCUGCAACUCGAGUCCAUGAAGUUGGAAUCGCUAGUAAUCGUAGAUCAGCAUGCUACGGUGAAUACGUUCCCGGGUCUUGUACACACCGCCCGUCACACCAUGGGAGUCGCUUCUGCCUUAAGCCGGUGAGCCAAUCUGGCAGCCGUCCACGGCAGGGGUGGUGACUGGGGUGAAGUCGUAACAAGGUAGCCGUAUCGGAAGG
rnacentral:rRNA from 1 species